UACGGGGGGGGCAAGCGUUGUUCGGAAUUAUUGGGCGUAAAGGGCGCGUAGGCGGCUAGAUGUGUCAAAGGUGAAAUCCCUCGGCUCAACUGAGGAACUGCCUUUGAAACUGUCUGGCUUGAGGCCGGGAGAGGGUAGCGGAAUUCCCAGUUUAGCGGUGAAAUGCGUAGAUAUUGGGAGGAACACCAGUGGCGAAGGCGGCUACCUGGACCGGUUCUGACGCUGAGACGCGAAAGCGUGGGGAGCAAACAGG
rnacentral:rRNA from 1 species